rnacentral:rRNA from 1 species
CACUGCCGAGAAAAGCCUCUAGAUAGAAAAUAGGUGCCCGUACCGCAAACCGACACAGGUAGUCAAGAUGAGAAUUCUAAGGUGAGCGAGCGAACUCUCGUUAAGGAACUCGGCAAAAUGACCCCGUAACUUCGGGAGAAGGGGUGCUCUUUAGGGUUAACGCCCAGAAGAGCCGCAGUGAAUAGGCCCAAGCGACUGUUUAUCAAAAACACAGGUCUCUGCUAAACCGUAAGGUGAUGUAUAGGGGCUGACGCCUGCCCGGUGCUGGAAGGUUAAGAGGAGUGGUUAGCUUCUGCGAAGCUACGAAUCGAAGCCCCAGUAAACGGCGGCCGUAACUAUAACGGUCCUAAGGUAGCGAAAUUCCUUGUCGGGUAAGUUCCGACCCGCACGAAAGGCGUAACGAUUUGGGCACUGUCUCAACGAGAGACUCGGUGAAAUCAUAGUACCUGUGAAGAUGCAGGUUACCCGCGACAGGACGGAAAGACCCCGUGGAGCUUUACUGUAGCCUGAUAUUGAAAUUCGGCACAGCUUGUACAGGAUAGGUAGGAGCCUUUGAAACGUGAGCGCUAGCUUACGUGGAGGCGCUGGUGGGAUACUACCCUAGCUGUGUUGGCUUUCUAACCCGCACCACUUAUCGUGGUGGGAGACAGUGUCAGGCGGGCAGUUUGACUGGGGCGGUCGCCUCCUAAAAGGUAACGGAGGCGCUCAAAGGUUCCCUCAGAAUGGUUGGAAAUCAUUCAUAGAGUGUAAAGGCAUAAGGGAGCUUGACUGCGAGACCUACAAGUCGAGCAGGGUCGAAAGACGGACUUAGUGAUCCGGUGGUUCCGCAUGGAAGGGCCAUCGCUCAACGGAUAAAAGCUACCCCGGGGAUAACAGGCUUAUCUCCCCCAAGAGUUCACAUCGACGGGGAGGUUUGGCACCUCGAUGUCGGCUCAUCGCAUCCUGGGGCUGUAGUCGGUCCCAAGGGUUGGGCUGUUCGCCCAUUAAAGCGGUACGCGAGCUGGGUUCAGAACGUCGUGAGACAGUUCGGUCCCUAUCCGUCGUGGGCGUAGGAAAUUUGAGAGGAGCUGUCCUUAGUACGAGAGGACCGGGAUGGACAUACCUCUGGUGUACCAGUUGUCGUGCCAACGGCAUAGCUGGGUAGCUAUGUGUGGACGGGAUAAGUGCUGAAAGCAUCUAAGCAUGAAGCCCCCCUCAAGAUGAGAUUUCCCAAUUUCGGUUAUAAGAUCCCUCAAAGAUGAUGAGGUUAAUAGGUUCGAGGUGGAAGCAUGGUGACAUGUGGAGCUGACGAAUACUAAUCGAUCGAAGACUUAAUCAA